UUUAUUUAUUUACAAGACUAGGAAAACAUAUUCAUACUAGUUCAUACAAACGACAUAAGUAAAAUAUAUUUACAUUAUUACAGACCCAUCACCUAUCAGGUGAUCUAUUUUUCCUUCGGGAUUCUCAAAGAAAUCUGCUAUAUCUAGAUGCAUGGGUUCAACAUUAUCUUCAGAGAUAAAGUUGGCUUCUGCGUUAUUUUUCACUUCCUUCAGGAAGCUUGAUACAGCUCAACCAGGUGCCUUGGCGUACGACAGGUACGUGACCAAUGCCCUUUUCCACCACAACGAUAACAUUUGUUGUCUGAAUUUUUCUUCUGCACCACUUCAUGCUUUUCAUCAUUCUUUUUACACUGCUGGUGGUGAAGGUUAUUAUUUAGUGCAAGACGAUCACCAUGAUUGAAAUUUCUUCCUCGACCACGGCCACGGCCACGACUGGGGCCACGACCUUUUCCACGCUUAAAUUGGUGAAAAUUUGUCUUAUUUACUUCAGGAAAUGACAUAGAACCAGUAGGUCGACU
rnacentral:lncRNA from 1 species